AUGCAGUCUGUCAUCAACGAAGAGUUUUGACACCUGUAAUACCCAUAUUUCUACCAUUCACCUCUGUAACCUUUGUUGAGUUCAUCAGACUGUCCAAGACAGGAAGUUGAGGAAUAAAGUUGACAGGACAUCCUGAACUGUCCUCGCUACCAGCUUAUGAGGGAACCAGCUGCAGUGGACAAAGUACGUUACAUCAUAGGAUAAUAGCAUUGAAUUGGAUUCUUGAACCAGAGCCAUGUGAACCUGGUCCACCUGUACCUCUCAUUGAAGACCUGUUAACAUCACCAGAGUAUGUUCAUUCUGAUACCCCUAUGGUAUGGUUACAGCAUGCAUUAUCCCUGAAUCCAUUAAAAGAGCUGCAUUGGCAACGAAACAACCCAAUGUGGUCGAUUGUAAGGAAAUAUAGCAUAUCAGCUUCCAACUUUGGUGCAGUUCUCAGUUCUAAGCAAAGGCGAUUGACAUUGUCACUGAAGAAACAGCUGAUUUCUGCUUACAAUCUGGAGUCCAUCAAGGCUGUUGCAUGGGGUAUCACUCAUGAAGAUGAUGCUUUGAGAAAGUAUGAAAAGGACUUAGAUGCAGCUGUAGAGCAGUCAGGAUAUGGUUGCAUGAAUCCGGAGUGUUGGGAGCUUCACCUGAUGGCUUAGUUGUUCGACCACCAACAUGCAGUGUAUUUUAUCAAACUCCAGAAGCCAAAGACGCCAUUCCUAAUAUUGUAGAGGUGAAGUGUCCAUAUACAGCAUCGUCUUCAACAGUAGCAGAUGGGGCACAAAAUUUGAAGGAUUUUUCAUAGAUCUUAAACAAGAUACCCUGUGCCUGAAAACCAGUCACCCAUACUAUCAUCAAAUUCAAGGCCAGCUACACAUAUGUAACAAAACAUUCUGCGACUUAAUUGUGUGGACAAGAGUAGACUGCAUUGUGAUUAGAAUAGUAAAAGACAUUGAAUGGACAGCAAAUGUUCCAAAGCUGAUAGAUUUCUACAUUAACAUUUUCAUUCCAGCACUGAUGGAAAACUGAGUUCUGGUUUGAACUUCUUGACACUUAGUUUUGUACCUCUAGAAUUUUCUAACAAUGGAAAAUGGGUAAUCAUGUUAAAUGUGUUGAAUGUUCCUAAGUCUCAUAAAUGUAUGAUAUGAUAUGUCACAAUCCAUCAUAAAACUUCUGGCUUAUAAGACUAUUUUAAAUAGCAAUGAUGAUUAAUAAAAUCUAUGUACUACAUAAAAAAAGAAUAUCAAAAUUUAGAAUCAUUUUAUUAAUGAAUUGAAGAUGUUAUUCUCAAAGUGAAAAUGUAACAUUUUGGUCUUUCUUAAUAGAUAAAUUGUUGAAAACAUGAA